rnacentral:rRNA from 1 species
CCUACGGGGGGCUGCAGUGGGGGAUAUUGCACAAUGGGGGGAAGCCUGACGCAGCGACGCCGCGUGGGGGAAGAAGGGCCUCGGCGCGUAAAGCCCUGUCAGCAGGGAAGAAAACGACGGUACCUGAAGAAGAAGCCGCGGCUAACUACGCGCCAGCAGCCGCGGUAAUACGCAGGGGGCGAGCGUUAUCCGGAUUUACGGGGUGUAAAGGGGGCGCAGACGGCGAUGCAAGCCAGGAGUGAAAGCCCGGGGCCCAACCCCGGGACAGCUCUUGGAACUGCGUGGCUGGAGUGCAGGAGGGGCAGGCGGAAUUCCUGGUGUAGCGGUGAAAUGCGUAGAUAUCAGGAGGAACACCGGUGGCGAAGGCGGCCUGCUGGACUGCAACUGACGUUGAGGCCCGAAAGCGUGGGGAGCAAACAGGAUUAGAUACCCGAGUAGUC